UGAUCCUGCCAGUAGUCAUACGCUCGUCUCAAAGAUUAAGCCAUGCAUGUGUAAGUAUAAAUAAUUUUACUUUGAAACUGCGAAUGGCUCAUUAUAUCAGUUAUAGUUUAUUAGAAAUAUUUUACUACUUGGAUAACCGUAGUAAUUCUAGGGCUAAUACAUGAGUAAAACCUCAACUUCGGAAGAGGUGUGUUUAUUAGUAUGAAAACCAUAUAUCUUCGGAUAUAAUAGUGAGUAAUAAUAACCUUUCAUAUCGUAUGUCGUAAGAUAACGAUAGUUCUUUCAAGUUUCUGCCCUAUCAGCUUUCGAUGGUAGUAUAUGGGACUACCAUGGCAGUAACGGGUAACGAAGAAUUUGGGUUCGAUUUCGGAGAGGGAGCCUGAGAGAUGGCUACCACAUCCAAGGAAGGCAGCAGGCGCGUAAAUUACCCAAUCCUGACAUAGGGAGGUAGUGACAAUAAAUCACAAUGCGGAACUUUU
rnacentral:rRNA from 1 species